GCUUGUCUGAGUUUGUCUGUCAACUUUGAAUGAUUGGUUUUUGUGUGUUUUUUUUUCUAGUAAAGGACUAGUAAAGUUGAAUGAAAAAUGAAAAUGCAACGACAUCAAUUAUAAAAGCCGCUCCUACCGUUCCCACAGCCACUGUUGAUAGUCAUCGACCCGACACGUCUGUAUUGCGUCGGCGAUCGCUUUGCAACUUUGACCUCCGUUCUUGCGGCGCCGGCGGAGCGCUCCGCGUGCUCGGCGCUGUGGCGGCAGUCGGCACUCUGACAGCUGUCAUUGUUGUCACCGUGACGUUUCUGAAAGUGGAAUACGUAUCGAAGUGAAAAUAUGCAAGCAAGCAAAUCAACGAGACAGAGUUCUCCCAGGGCACAGGACGAACGCAUUUACGGCGAAAACACUUGUGUUGGGAGAAAUCUCACCACAGUAGUGCUGUUGAGCAUCAGCCUGGCGCUUAUUAUACUGAUCGUCAUACUCUCGCUGCUCAUCAUGAGCAAAGAGUAUCAUUGGAGAUCGGCAUGAUUUUAUUUAUAAUUUCAAUGUUGUGAUAAAUAUUUUUUUACGAAGCUUGUAUUACUAUUGUGAAUGAUGAAAUUAAAAAAUGUGUUGUUUGA